rnacentral:rRNA from 1 species
AUACGGAGGAUCCGAGCGUUAUCCGGAUUUAUUGGGUUUAAAGGGAGCGUAGGUGGACAGUUAAGUCAGUUGUGAAAGUUUGCGGCUCAACCGUAAAAUUGCAGUUGAUACUGGCUGUCUUGAGUACAGUAGAGGUGGGCGGAAUUCGUGGUGUAGCGGUGAAAUGCUUAGAUAUCACGAAGAACUCCGAUUGCGAAGGCAGCUCACUGGACUGCAACUGACACUGAUGCUCGAAAGUGCGGGUAUCAAACAGGAUUAGAUACCCUGGUAGUCCGCACAGUAAACGAUGAAUACUCGCUGUUUGCGAUACACUGUAAGCGGCCAAGCGAAAGCGUUAAGUAUUCCACCUGGGGAGUACGCCGGCAACGGUGAAACUCAAAUGAAUUGACGGGG